GAUGAACGCUGGCGGCAGGCCUAACACAUGCAAGUCGAACGAACCUUUCGGGGUUAGUGGCGGAAGGGUGAGUAACACGUGGGAACGUGCCUUUAGGUUCGGAAUAACUCAGGGAAACUUGUGCUAAUACCGAAUGUGCCCUUCGGGGGUAAGAUUUAUCGCCUUUAGAGCGGCCCGCGUCUGAUUAGCUAGUUGGUUGAGGUAAUGGCUCACCAAGGCGACGAUCAGUAGCUGGUCUGAGAGGAUGAUCAGCCACAUUGGGACUGAGACACGGCCCAAACUCCUACGGGAGGCAGCAGUGGGGAAUCUUGCGCAAUGGGCGAAAGCCUGACGCAGCCAUGCCGCGUGAAUGAUGAAGGUCUUAGGAUUGUAAAAUUCUUUCACCGGGGACGAUAAUGACGGUACCCGGAGAAGAAGCCCCGGCUAACUUCGUG
rnacentral:rRNA from 1 species